GGAGAUACUCAGUUGGAAAGAGCCUUAAGGAACACCUGCGUACCCACACAGGUGAAAAGCCAUUUCAGUGCCCUUCAUGCCCUCGGAGCUUCUC
rnacentral:lncRNA from 1 species